GAUAAAAAAAAAGAAAAUAAAAAAUGCGAAUUAAAAAAAUAGGAUGUCAAAAAAAGCUAUAAAAAUGUGACAAAACAAAUCUCAAAAAGACGACUGACAAAAAUGACAGAAAAGACGACAAAAAAACGACAAAAACCGCGAAAUUAAAAAACAUGAGAAAAAACACCACAAAAAAGCAACAAAAAAAUGGAGACAAUAAAAGGUUACAAGAGAACAAAACAAAAAUGUGACUAAGAAAAAUAGGAGUCAAAGAAUGAGAAAGUGAUCGAAAAAAAGAAAAGAAAAAGUGCGAAUUAAAAAAAACAGAGUGAAAAAAGUGUCAAAAAAA